UAAGGAAUCUUCCACAAUGGACGAAAGUCUGAUGGAGCAACACCGCGUGCAGGAUGACGGUCUUCGGAUUGUAAACUGCUUUUAUAUGGGAAGAUUAUGACGGUACCAUAUGAAUAAGCACCGGCUAACUACGUGCCAGCAGCCGCGGUAAUACGUAGGGUGCAAGCGUUAUCCGGAAUCACUGGGCGUAAAGCGUGCGUAGGCGGAAAUUUAAGUGUGAUGUUAAAUCGUGGGGCUCAACCCUGUCGAUGCAUCGCAUACUGGGUUUCUAGAGGACGGCAGAGGCAAGUGGAACUCGUAGUGUAGCAGUGAAAUGCGUAGAUAUUACGAAGAACACCAAUGGCGAAGGCAGCUUGCUGGGCCGCCCCUGACGCUGAGGCACGAAAGCGUGGGGAGCGAACAG
rnacentral:rRNA from 1 species